rnacentral:rRNA from 1 species
AUUGAACGCUGGCGGCAGGCCUAACACAUGCAAGUCGAGCGAGCGGCGGACGGGUGAGUAAUGUAUGGGGACUGCCCGAUAGAGGGGGAUAACUACUGGAAACGGUAGCUAAUACCGCAUACUAUCGGAUAACCCAUAGGGGAUUAGCUAGUAGGUGAGGUAAUGGCUCACCAAGGCAACGAUCCGUAGCUGGUUUGAGAGGACGACCAGCAACACUGGGACUGAGACACGGCCCAGACGCCUACGGAGGCAGCAGUGGGGAAUGUUGGACAAUGGGGGAAACCCUGAUGCAGCCAUCCCGCGUGAAUGAUGAAGGCCUUCGGGUUGUAAAGUACUUUUGGUAGAGAAGCGGUAUCUGCAGAAUAAGCACCGGCUAACUACGUGCCAGCAGCCGCGGUAAUUC